UACAGAGGGUGCGAGCGUUGUCCGGAAUCACUGGGCGUAAAGGGCGCGUAGGUGGCCUGUGGAAGUCUGCGGUGAAAGCCCGGCGCUCAACGCCGGGUCGGCCGUGGAUACUCUCGGGCUUGAGCUUACUAGAGGCAGAUGGAAUUCCCGGUGUAGCGGUGAAAUGCGCAGAUAUCGGGAGGAACACCGGUGGCGAAGGCGGCCCGCUGGACAGCGCCUGACGCUGAGACGCGAAAGCGUGGGUAGCAAACAGG
rnacentral:rRNA from 1 species